GGAGCCUGGGAGAGGGGGAUGGGAGAAGGGAGGAAGAGGGAGAAGGAGGGAGCGCCGAGGAACGGAGGAGAGAGGGGCCAGGAGGGAGACGCGAGGGAGGGAGCGCGAGGCAAGCCGCGAGGGGGGAGAGAGGGGGAGCUGGAGGGAGGGAGGCGCCGCGCGAGUUGGCCGAGGCCGAGGCCGAGGGGGCCGGGGCGCGGGGAGGGCUAGCCGUGGCGGAAUGUGGGGAGCCCGCGGGCCCGGCGCGGGAGAGGGCUAGGUAGGAGGGGCUGUGGGUGGUGAGGGCAGAUGAGGGGAGGCUGAAGUUUGGGGGCGAGCGGGUCUGUGGCAGAGGUGAAGUGGGAGGAGUUUGGGGGAUCCUGGGGUAGAGAUUGGGAUAAUGGGAUUGGAUUGGAAAGACGGAGCUGCCUGGGGGCUUUGUGGGUGCCUGGUGAGAAGUGAGAGAAGCUUGGGGUGAGGGAUCUGUGGCAGAGAUGGAGCCAGAUGGGUUUGGGGGCUAUUAUCAGAGAGAAUGGAAUGGAAGUUUGGGGUCAUAAGGAGGGAGAAAAAUUGAAAAGAUGACAUAUAUAGAAAGAUGGGGCUUCUGGAAGAAGUAAAGCUUUCGGGGGUGAUUAGUGUUGGCAAAAGAUUCAGAAACAUAAGAAUUGGGGGUAGAGGGAUGAAGGAAUGCUGGAGAGAGAGAAGUCCAGAGGAAACAUCAGUGAGGAGAAAGAGGAGGGGAACGCGUGAGGAACCUUAAGAAGGGAUGAACGAGGUAGCCUCUGGCAGUCAGUCUGCUGCGGGCCGUGAAGCCGGCACCUCCGCCAGCCCGCCACCAGUUCCUUCUCCUGGGCUCCCUCCUGGCCCUCCACCAAGCAGCAGCAUCUCCCAGGACAAAGGACACAGGCUCUGCUGUCCAGUUUCACCAGCUUCCAGGUGCUCCAUCUUCUCUCCCCUCAUGUGGACUAGAGUAAGACUCCUUAGACACAACAGUGCACUGAUUCAGACUUUAAUGGAGGUGCUCAUUUCAAUGCCACAGAGGUGGUGGCAACCGUGGAACGUGGCAUGGGGAGUGAGAGGUUGCUCUGGUGCAGCUGGAGGAAGAACAGGGAACCUAGGGUUGGGGAGAGAUGUAUAGAGGAAAACUCCCCCAGGCACACAGCCUCCGCUCUGGACCAACGCAGGCUUCAGUGAGUACACACAAAGGAACUGAUGUCAAGGCCCUUUCUAUCACCCUUCCCAUUCUAGCAAGACCUCCCGCCCCAGUCAUCUUGGGAUCUACAGCCACAUGAAAUACAGACACGUCGUUCCCCCAAGUCAGGCCAGUUUUAGGCCAUUGAGUUAUGGGGAAAUGAUUAAUGGGAUGAAUGAAAAACAAAUAAAAUAAAUAAAUAAAUAAAUAAAUACACUAAAGCCUUAUUAGCCAGGCAUGAUCACAUGUCUAACACUCCCUCCAUCCCAGCACUAUGCACAGUUCAUGGCUCAUAUGCAAAGUGGAAAACACGUGGGACAAGAGCAAA